AUGAGGUUUGACACAAUGAUCGAGACUUCUCUCUUUUAGCUCGAUUGGCUCGUACCGCAUGUACCGACGACCGUGCUGAUGAUCUCUCUACCCUGUUUGAUCCGAUCAUGGACUUUUCCUUUGGAAAUUUCUCUAAGGCAAGGAUCCUUAAGCUAUCAGAAGACUUGGGUUUUGUUGGAACGCAACUUGUCCGAUCAGAACGCCCCGCAGCCUUAGCAGAACAUCCCGCGGCCCUUGCUGAACGUCCCGCCAAUGUGAUUGUCCUUACCGCCUUGGACUUAGCCGGUUCAGAUGCAUCUUGAUGGAAGCUGAUCAGUCACAUUAAUUAAGUCUUCUCUUUAUUUUCGUGUAAAGACUUGAUCAAGUUCUAGAUCUACAUUUCAUUUAAUUCCUAGAUCUACAAAACACUAUAAGUAUGAAACUCUUUCAUUUUAAUAAAUCAGAAAUCGUUUUUGUCUAAAGUUUGAGUUAAACUCUUUGUUCUUUGUUUAAGAACUUGUCUUGUUUCUUGGUGAGCCAUAUCCAAGUAAACACUUCCUCAAAUCGUUGGUCUUGUGAGUCAUAUCAAGCAACGACGAGAGAUCCUUCACGUGGUGGUCUUGUGGGUCAUAUCAAGCACCAUUUGGAGUCGGGAAUAUCGAAGGCCUUUCCGCAACCUUCGUGCGACCCUUCAAUCCAUCCAGUUCUCCAUCCGGAGUUCAUAUCCAAAUCUGAUCCAUUCGAGUGAGCCGAUCUUAGGGUCCUUCAAGUGGUAUCAGAGCCGCUCGUUAUAAAAUAACGCAGGUGUCCUAAUAUGAGCUCAACGAGAACAGAAAUCUCGUGUGGAACAAAAGGGUAAAAGCUCGUUUGAUUCUGAUUUUCAGUACGAAUACGAACCAUGAAAGAGUGGCCUAUCGAUCCUUUAGACCUUCGGAAUUUGUGGCAGCCAAGCAUUCAUAGCGACGUUGCUUUUUAAUCCUUCGAUGUCGGCUCUUCCUAUCAUUGUGAAGCAGAAUUCACCAAGUGUUGGAUUGUUCACCCACCAAUAGGGAACGUGAGCUGGGUUUAGACCGUCGUGAGACAGGUUAGUUUUACCCUACUUAUGCCCGCGUCGCAAUACUAAUUCAACCUAGAACGAGAGGAACUGUUGAUUCGCACAAUUGGUCAUCGCACUUGGUUGAAAAGCCAGUGGCGCGAAGCUACCGUGCGCUGGAUUAUGACUGAACGCCUCUAAGUUAGAAUCUGGGCUAGAAGCGACGCAUGCGCCCGC
rnacentral:ncRNA from 1 species